rnacentral:rRNA from 1 species
UGCCAGCAGCCGCGGUAAUACGAGGGGGGCUAGCGUUGUUCGGAAUCACUGGGCGUAAAGCGCACGUAGGCGGAUCUGUUAGUCAGGGGUGAAAGCCCGGGGCUCAACCCCGGAACUGCCCCUGAUACUGCAGAUCUCGAGUCCGGAAGAGGUGAGUGGAAUUCCUAGUGUAGAGGUGAAAUUCGUAGAUAUUCGGAGGAACACCAGUGGCGAAGGCGGCUCACUGGCUCGAUACUGACGCUGAGGUGCGAAAGCGUGGGGAGCAAACAGGAUUAGAUA